rnacentral:rRNA from 1 species
UACGUAGGGUGCGAGCGUUAAUCGGAAUUACUGGGCGUAAAGCGUGCGCAGGCGGUUUUGUAAGCCAGAUGUGAAAUCCCCGGGCUUAACCUGGGAAUGGCAUUUGGGACUGCAAGGCUCGAGUGCGGCAGAGGAGACUGGAAUUCCUGGUGUAGCAGUGAAAUGCGUAGAUAUCAGGAGGAACACCGAUGGCGAAGGCAGGUCUCUGGGCUGACACUGACGCUCAUGCACGAAAGCGUGGGAGC